rnacentral:rRNA from 1 species
UACGGGGGGAGCAAGCGUUGUUCGGAUUUACUGGGCGUAAAGGGCGCGUAGGCGGCGUGACAAGUCACUUGUGAAAUCUCCGGGCUUAACUCGGAGCGGCCAAGUGAUACUGUCGUGCUAGAGUGCGGAAGGGGCUACUGGAAUUCUCGGUGUAGCGGUGAAAUGCGUAGAUAUCGGGAGGAACACCAGUGGCGAAGGCGACUACCUGGCCUGUUCUUGACGCUGAGGCGCGAAAGCUAGGGGAGCAAACGGG